GCGGCGGAGCGCGCAUAGGACUGACCACCAGCAGCGAAAAAGAAGGUACUUUUAUUGUCCACAGACUCUUAAAGAUGGUGCCUGCACAUGACCUCGUCUUUAGUAAUGGCAAUGAAUUUCUUUCCAGAUUAAAGGACUCCUCCUUUGGAGCACAUCAUGGCUCUUGUGCAUGGAAACUAGGUUGUGAGCACAGUGGGAAGCAGAAAACUGUGCACUCUGUCUUCUCCUAAGAUAGAGUUGUGAAGCAAAUGGGAGAGACAUGUAAGUAACAAGACAGAGCUGGACUGAAAUGCCUGCUCAAGGAGCCUGUUUUUCCUCACUACCUACCCUAGGAAUCCAAAUUUAGCCUCCCAAUUUUGAGAGUUGUAUGAUUUUAAUACCCUUUAGAAAUAACAAUUUGAAGUACAGCUAAAAUCACGUGUUCCAGUGCCAGACUAAGAUAUGAGACUACAGAAAGGUAUCAGCAGUCAAUGAAGUAAUAAAGUCAACCAAAAAGCAAAACAAUUUCUUAGAUUGUGAAGAAAACAGAAGAAAAAUGCUGACAUGCUUUUGUAGUAAAUAUUCCAAGACAGCAAUCACACCAGGGUGCAGAUAAUUGCUCCAAAGCAUGUUUUCCUUUACCCUUCUUUUGAAAGAGAAGUAUUAGGUACUUUCAGCAUUAGGCCAUGUGAAGUUAAGUGACUGAAAACAAACAGCAUUUCAAAGAAUAACGUUUGGUCUUCUUGAUUUGUGACUAAAAAGGACCCCCUUCCCUUCUCUCCUUUACAAUGAGAUGUGUUUGGUGAGAGGACUAAUGCAGCUGUGGAUGGCUCUCCCACAGUCAGGGAAGAUGCAAUACUUUCUCAGUGUUACUGCUGUUGCUGCUGUAGAUGUAAUGGAGUUCACCUUAACAAAAGUAAGGGAAUCCAAGCCAACAAGUGCAGGGAUGACAAAAAAUUGGGGGAGGCAUUUGAUAGGCUGAGGGGUAUGGCCACCAGAGUUAUUUCCACAAUUGGAAUCUGAUACAAACUUCAAGAAGUUCCAAGAAUACAGUGGUAAACGCAUAGUCCUGGAGCUGGGAUAAAAGAGUACAGACUGAGGAGCAACCUUACCAAAAAAGAAGGUGUGUAUUUGAUGAAGUCAAACUACAUACUGGCUGUAUUAGCACAUGAGAAGCAAGAAGACUAAAAGGAGUAAUGAUGCUCCCCUACUCAACACUUGUGCGGCUGCAUCUCCAGUACCAUGUCCUGUCUUGAGUUCCCCAAAAGGAGAUUGCAACACACAACAAAAAAGUUGUGUGUUGCUUAUUUGAUAGCAAGAUGAUAAGGCUGAGGGGAGAUCCUACUGCUGCCUUUAAAUUACUUAUCGGGAGGGUACAGAGAUGACGACAAAUUUUUCUUGAAGGUGGCACAGUGACAAGAAAAGAGUUGUGACUUGCAUUAAAGGGUAUUUUGACUAGACAUAAACAAAAUCCUACAGCACAAGAGUUUACCCAGACACCUCUACCAGGCUGCAACAUCUUCAUCCUUGGAGAUAAAUAAAACUUCACUGGGCAAGGCCCUGAGAAACUUGACCUAAACCUGAAGUUACCUCCAAUUUGAACAGAAGGUUGAACUAAAUAACAUCUGGAGGUCUACUUGUACUUUAAUUACUGUGUGAUUCUAUAAAGCAGACAUUUAACAUCACUCAAAUUAAUCCUACCUGAAUGUUGUAAGAGGUGUUUUUCAAAAGGCUUUGCCUUGUAGAUAUUUAAGAAGUGCUCCUCUGACAUAUGCAGUAGGAAGCAUGAACACUACCUUCCAGGUAAAAUAGUUUAAUCUUUUUUUUUCUGUACAAUUCUGUAACUCAGAUAUUUCACUCCAUCUCAAGCAGCUGAAAAGUUGUGUUUAAACAAUAUUCCCAGAUAGAAUCUUUCUUUUUACAAGCUUAAUUUUUAUCUAUUGCAUUUUUUUAUCAGACAUCUAAACACUAUGGGUUUAUAGGAAGUCUGUGAGGCUUUUGCUACAUUAUUACUGAUGUAAUUAUAUAAAAUUAAAUCAGGUUAUAAAACCAACAAAUGCACAAUCAUCUGUUGUAUUACGUGGAUAGAUUCUCUCUGAGGAAAUAUAACUACAUUAAAGAAAAAUUUUAAGAAGAGACUGCAUCACUCAGAAAUGCAGAGCAGUAGUUGUGGCAAAACUCUUAAACAAAAGAACACAAUAAGAUCUCAAGUACCUGCAGGCUACCAACUUACAGCUGCCGUGUAAUGGUAUGAUGAAUGACUAAGGCUUUACCUAUCAAGUGUUGGAUAAGGUAAUCCCAUGCUUACAAAUAGGAUUACAGUACAGUAUUAAGUUUUAAAGCUGAGCUUAAAAAUGUAGAAGACAAUCAUGUUAGAAUAGAAGUAACAUGGCAUUCUUACCUCCCAUGACACC